GCGUUCUACUGAUAGUCACCUCCUCCAGGUCCCCAAAACCAAGCUCCUCACAAUGGGCGACAGAGCCUUUCAGGCAGCAGCACCACGCCUGUGGAAUGCCCUGCCCAUCCACCUGAGGGCGCCACAGUCAGUGGACUCUUUUAAAUC